GGGCGUAAGCGCGCGUAGGUGGCUAAGUCAGCCAGGUGUGAAAGCCCCGGGCUCAACCUGGGAACGGCAUCUGGAACUGCUUGGCUAGAGUGCAGGAGAGGAAGGUAGAAUUCCCGGUGUAGCGGUGAAAUGCGUAGAGAUCGGGAGGAAUACCAGUGGCGAAGGCGGCCUUCUGGACUGACACUGACACUGAGGUGCGAAAGCGUGGGUAGCAAACAGGAUUAGAUACCCUGGUAGUCCACGCCGUAAACGAUGUCAACUAGCCGUUGGGUCCCUUGAGGACUUAGUGGCGCAGCUAACGCAAUAAGUUGACCGCCUGGGGAGUACGGCCGCAAGGUUAAAACUCAAAUGAAUUGACGGGGGCCCGCACAAGCGGUGGAGCAUGUGGUUUAAUUCGAUGCAACGCGAAGAACCUUACCUACCCUUGACAUCCAGAGGACUUUCCAGAGAUGGAUUGGUGCCUUCGGGAACUCUGAGACAGGUGCUGCAUGGCUGUCGUCAGCUCGUGUUGUGAAAUGUUGGGUUAAGUCCCGUAACGAGCGCAACCCCUAUCCUUAUUUGCCAGCGAGUAAUGUCGGGAACUCUAAGGAGACUGCCGGUGACAAACCGGAGGAAGGUGGGGACGACGUCAAGUCAUCAUGGCCCUUACGGGUAGGGCUACACACGUGCUACAAUGGCAAGUACAAAGGGUUGCAAUACUGCGAAGUGGAGCCAAUCCCAUAAAGCUUGCCUCAGUCCGGAUUGGAGUCUGCAACUCGACUCCAUGAAGUCGGAAUCGCUAGUAAUCGUGGAUCAGAAUGCCACGGUGAAUACGUUCCCGGGCCUUGUACACACCGCCCGUCACACCAUGGGAGUGGACUGCACCAGAAGUGGUUAGCCUAACCUUCGGGAGGGCGAUCACCACGGUGUGGUUCAUGACUGGGGUGAAGUCUA
rnacentral:rRNA from 1 species